UACGGGGGGGGCAAGCGUUGUUCGGAUUUACUGGGCGUAAAGGGCGCGUAGGCGGUCAGCACAAGUCAGUUGUGAAAUCUCCGGGCUUAACCCGGAAAGGUCAACUGAUACUGUGCGACUAGAGUGCGGAAGGGGCAACUGGAAUUCUCGGUGUAGCGGUGAAAUGCGUAGAUAUCGAGAGGAACACCUGCGGCGAAGGCGGGUUGCUGGGCCGACACUGACGCUGAUGCGCGAAAGCCAGGGGAGCGAACGGG
rnacentral:rRNA from 1 species